GAUGAACGCUAGCGACAGGCUUAACACAUGCAAGUCGAGGGCAGCAUGAUUUGUAGCAAUACAGAUUGAUGGCGACCGGCGCACGGGUGAGUAACGCGUAUGCAACUUACCUAUCAGAGGGGGAUAGCCCGGCGAAAGUCGGAUUAAUACCCCAUAAACAGGGGUCCCGCAUGGGAAUAUUGUUAAAGAUUCAUCGCUGAUAGAUAGGCAUGCGUUCCAUUAGGCAGUUGGAGGGGUAACGGCCCA
rnacentral:rRNA from 1 species